UACAGAGGGUGCGAGCGUUAAUCGGAGUUACUGGGCGUAAAGGGCGCGUAGGCGGUUAUUUAAGUUAGUUGUGAAAUCCCUGGGCUUAACCUAGGAACUGCGGCUAAGACUGAGUAACUGGAGUACAGUAGAGGGUGGCGGAAUUUCCGGUGUAGCGGUGAAAUGCGUAGAGAUCGGAAGGAACAUCAGUGGCGAAGGCGGCCACCUGGACUGAUACUGACGCUGAGGCGCGAGAGCGUGGGGAGCAAACAGG
rnacentral:rRNA from 1 species